CUUAACUCAACUUUCCUAGUAAUUGAUCCAAAAUGAAAGCAUUGUUUCUCAUAGUAUGCAUUCUCUUGGCUUCCACUCCCUUUAUUGCCACUUCCACCAUGGCUAGGAAGCUGCAGGGAGGACAACCCAUUGAUACCAUGCAUAAACCACCAAGGCAUCCGCCUGAUCAAUUUAAGCCUCCUGGCGGAGGUGGUCCAAUUAACCCUCCUCCUACACCUUAAAUAUGGGGUGAAAGCCAUGGAGAUCUAUUGGCAAACUUAUAACGAGAAUAAAUUAUAUAAAGCUAAUAAUAAGUUGCCAACCAGAUCAUGAAGUUGCAGCGGCCUUGAUUUGUGUCUUGAAGACUACUACUAGUAUACUUUGUUUACGAUAUGUAUAAAGUGUUAUAUGUGCAAUAAAUAGUUGUAAAGAGCUCAUGACGAGCCCAUGAUGGUCUUGUCCUGGAAGGAUCAUCCUCCCUUUCCUUUCUGUAUUAAGAAAAUUCGUGAAGAGUUGACCUUCAUGAGUUACGGCCGCUAGCACAUCCAACUGGUUUAUCACUUAAAUUACAGGUUCAACUAAUGUUAUCUGUAAAUAUAGUUUGUAAUGAAUGAAAAAAAGAAAAGAAAAGGGAAUGUUGUUGUUGCCUUGUUUUA